rnacentral:lncRNA from 1 species
CCGUCUACCUAGGUUUCCUCACUUCAGAAAUCUACUGUACUUAAAAACAGCCACCACUAUUGUAACAUUGCCUGUUGCCUUGGUAAUCCUAUUGCAUGGGUACUUGAUGAUUAUCUGUGUUUGAGACUUGCAUUGUUCACACUGCACCGCCUCUGCUAUGUCUAACAGCAGCCAAGAAAUUUUCUUUUGUUCUCAGCUUUACCAUUUUGUUCAGAAGAGCUUUUGAGAGCCAGAUUUCACUUCAGAUGAUGUUUAUCUCCUUUAGUUGAACUAAAGCAAUAUGUUGAGGCACAGUAAAACGUGGCCCUGUGCUAACAAUCAUUUCCAGAGGUCAACACCUUGUUUCAGUGGAAAGAAUUGUGGGACACGAUGGGAACCAGCAAGUCUGCACAGGAUCUUGAAGAUGCACUCAGCGUGA